CAGUCGCCGCGGUAAUACGGAGGAUCCAAGCGUUAUCCGGAAUCAUUGGGUUUAAAGGGUCCGUAGGCGGUCUUGUAAGUCAGUGGUGAAAGCCCAUCGCUCAACGGUGGAACGGCCAUUGAUACUGCAGGACUUGAAUUAUUGGGAAGUAACUAGAAUAUGUAGUGUAGCGGUGAAAUGCUUAGAGAUUACAUGGAAUACCAAUUGCGAAGGCAGGUUACUACCAAUUGAUUGACGCUGAUGGACGAAAGCGUGGUUAGCGAACAGGAUUAGAUACCCCAGUAGUCCCUGUCUCUUAUAA
rnacentral:rRNA from 1 species